rnacentral:rRNA from 1 species
ACUCCUACGGGGCGCAGCAGGGAGGAAUAUUGGUCAAUGGGCGCGAGCCUGAACCAGCCAAGUCGCGUGAGGGAGGACGGCCCUACGGGUUGUAAACCUCUUUUGCCGGGGAGCAACGGGCGUCACGUGUGGCGCCACUGAGAGUACCCGGAGCAAAAGCAUCGGCUAACUCCGUGGCAGCAGCCGCGGCAAUACGGAGGAUGCGAGCGUUAUCCGGAUUUAUUGGGUUUAAAGGGGGCGUAGGCGGA